AACGAACGCUGGCGGCGUGCCUAACACAUGCAAGUCGUGCGAGAAAAGGGGGGCAACUCCCUGAGUAAAGCGGCGCACGGGUGAGUAACACGUAGGUAAUCUCCCCUCGAGCCUGGAAUA
rnacentral:rRNA from 1 species